GUUUUCUUCACAGGAUUCUUGGAAAGAUUUGAGACAGCCUGGCAAAAAACAAUCAGAAAGAGCGCAUGUAUCUCUUCUCUCACACGCUGAAGAAGUGAAGUGAUCUGUGAAAAUGUAUUGUGUAUAACUCAGAGGAGAGGCAAGAAACAAAAAUCUACCAUGUCAUGGUUGGUAAUUUGCAGUUCAAAACAUCCACCAAUUUUCUUCAGACAAGUACCCCAUCUAUAGAACUUCAGCUGCUCAGGAUUUGAAGGGUCAGUCUCUGAGAGCGAUGAGGUGGCGGUCCUAGCCUCUGCACCACCAGACUUAAAUCAUACAAUCUGAAAUUAAGGCUCUGCUAAAAUUAGACAGUUGUUUUAACGGGUGCCAUGCCUUUUUUAGGCAGGAUGACCAAGAGUGUGCAGCAUGUGACAUCAUUACCACAGCAGUAGCUGAUGCCAUUCACUAACCAAGAAAAAAGGGCUACACAAUGAAGAAAAACAUCUUUAGUUGACUGAUACUCAGCACUCCCUUCUGAAAAUAUUAUAAAUAAAAGGAAAAAUAUGUUGACAACUCCUUAGGCCAUACAAUACAACACAGCUCUAUUUACCCAUCAACAUCUUAAGAAUGCUACUUUCCAGUCCAAAAAGGCAACACCUGUUUUUAAGAGAUGACAUCACGUCCUGGCAUUAAUUUGUAGUUAUCUUACAAGUGUGUGUGUGUGUGAUUCUGUUUAAUUUAAAACUGAAAGCACUGUAAGCAUAUUAAUGUAGUUCUGCCAUACUUGUCUGGAUUUGCUACUGUUUGCAAGGCGAUUAAUCAAUCAAAGUUAGAUCAGCUCACUGUAAUCAUUUUAAUGUAUUAAUAGUUGACAGGCAACAAAACACAUUUCCAAAUUCAAAACAGUUUAUGUUUCCUUCUGUUAUAUGCUUACAGUUGUCUCACACCUACAUAAAACAAUUUAGGGUCAUGAUGGAGCCAGAGCCUGUCCUGGCAGCAUCAGACAGAAGGGAGGAACCAGCUCUAAACGAGCCACCAGUCCAAAGUGAGGCUGAUUCACACAGACCCCCCCACUCCAGUAUCAGGCCAGUUUAGAAUCACCAGUUGUCCUAACAUGCACAUCUUUUGGACAUGGGAGGAAACCUGAUAAAUCUGCAGAAAUAUCCAAGCAGAAAUGAGAAGAUGGUUCAAACUGCUAGUAGAAAAGGCAUACAGGCUUCUCCAACUUUAAGAAGCAGCUAAUCCAUUGUUGAGUACUCUGUGAAUAAAGUGAAUUUUCAUAAAUUUAUUACAAUUAAUUUAAAUGGAAAACAUUUUUAAGCAUUUCUUGAUCCCAUUUUUUUUCCCCACUAUAUGAAAACUGACAGAGUUUUACUAUAGCAUUAGUCAUCAAAACAAGCCAGAAUAAGGUAUUCCCCUUCAUUAAAUAAUGUUUAAUAAAAUGAUUUACCUAUACGCUAUUUCAAAGGAAUUGCCUUUCACUUUUCCUAGGGCUUUUCCAAGUUGUACUUAAUCUGCUUUGGAGCAUUGAUGAUCAGAAAAAAGUGAGAAAUGUAAGCAACAUAAAUGAACCACAGCACAUGAACACAAAAGUAAGCCUUGCUCCAGCCUGUGGAUCAGCCCCACUCCAUAUGCAGGCUUCUGUGAGAAUAGUAUCUGAACAUUGCAUCAUGAGGCAUGGAAAUAACUGAGUCUGGAGACUGCGCAACACCAACAUUUAGCCCCACCCUCAAACAUCCAGCCCUGCCCACUCGUGCAGGCUGUAACAAGGUGCAUUUGGAAUGACUGUGUAGAUGACCAGGUGAUAGCACCACUGGCACACACCCUAUUCUUCAUAUACAGUAUGCACAUUUUUAUAAAACAUACAAAAUCUGUAUUUUAGAUAAUUGUGUGAAGAAUUGUGUUCAUUUGCAUUGCCUAUUUGUUUUUGGUUUAAUACUACUGUAAUAUACGUUUCUAGAGAAGUAUAUUGAAGUAAAAUUAUCAUUUUCAUUUGAGAAUGUACUAAAAUAAAGUUAAAGUAGAUAGAAAAUUUUAUAUUCAAGUAAAUUAGGAACAUUCUCAAAACAAAUACUCCAUUCUGAAUUAAAAAUA